rnacentral:tRNA from 1 species
GCCGGGAUGGCGGAAUUGGCAGACGCUGGGGACUUAAAAUCCCUUGGGCUUCACGGCCCGUGUGGGUUCGAGACCCACUCCCGGCA